ACGGGGUGCAGCAGGCGCGAAAACUUCACACUGGGGGGAACCCCGAUGAGGGGAAACCCUAGUGCUAGGACAUUUGUUCUAGCUUUUCUCAAGCGUAGAUAACUUGAGGAAUAAGGGCUGGGUAAGACGGGUGCCAGCCGCCGCGGUAAUACCUGCAGCCCAAGUGGUGGUCGAUUUUAUUGAGUCUAAAACGUUCGUAGCCGGUUUGGUAAAUCUUUGGGUAAAUCGGGAGGCUCAACUUUCCGACUUCCGAAGAGACUGCCAAACUUGGGACCGGGAGAGGCUAGAGGUACUUCUGGGGUAGGGGUAAAAUCCUGUAAUCCUAGAAGGACCACCGGUGGCGAAGGCGUCUAGCUAGAACGGAUCCGACGGUGAGGGACGAAGCCCUGGGUCGCAAACGGGAUUAGAUACCCCGGUAGUCCAGGGUGUAAACGCUGCCGACUUGGUGUUGGGGACCCUUCGGGGGUGUUCAGUGCCGGAGAGAAGUUGUUAAGUCUGCUACUUGGGGAGUACGUCCGCAAGGAUGAAACUUAAAGGAAUUGGCGGGGGAGCAC
rnacentral:rRNA from 1 species